CGGGUGAGUAAUGUAUGGGGAUCUGCCCGAUAGAGGGGAAUAACUACUGGAAACGGUGGCUAAUACCGCAUAAUGUCUACGGACCAAAGCAGGGGCUCUUCGGACCUUGCACUAUCGGAUGAACCCAUAUGGGAUUAGCUAGUAGGUGGGGUAAAGGCUCACCUAGGCGACGAUCUCUAGCUGGUCUGAGAGGAUGAUCAGCCACACUGGGACUGAGACACGGCCCAG
rnacentral:rRNA from 1 species